rnacentral:rRNA from 1 species
GAUGAACGCUAGCGGCAGGCCUAAUACAUGCAAGUCGAACGGGAUCUGAGGGUAGCUUGCUACCCGAUUUGAGAGUGGCGCACGGGUGCGUAACGCGUGAGCAACCUACCCAUAUCAGGGGGAUAGCCCGAAGAAAUUCGGAUUAACACCGCAUAAUAAUACGCUAACACAUGUUGAUGUAUUUAAAUAUUUAUAGGAUAUGGAUGGGCUCGCGUGACAUUAGCUAGUUGGUAAGGUAACGGCUUACCAAGGCGACGAUGUCUAGGGGCUCUGAGAGGAGCAUCCCCCACACGGGUACUGAGACACGGACCAGACUCCUGCGGGAGGCAGCAGUAAGGAAUAUUGGUCAAUGGGCGCAAGCCUGAACCAGCCAUGCCGCGUGCAGGAUGACUGCCCUAUGGGUUGUAAACUGCUUUUGUUAGGGAAUAAACCUUCUUACGUGUAAGGAGCUGAAUGUACCUAAAGAAUAAGGAUCGGCUAACUCCGUGCCAGCCGCCGCCGUAA